GUGAGGAAUAUUGGGCAAUGGGGGAAACCCUGACCCAGCGACGCCGCGUGAGGGAAGAAGGUCUUCGGAUUGUAAACCUCUGUCUUCGGGGACGAUAAUGACGGUACCCGGGGAGGAAGCCACGGCUAACUACGUGCCAGCAGCCGCGGUAAAACGUAGGUGGCAAGCGUUGUCCGGAAUUACUGGGUGUAAAGGGAGCGCAGGUGGGGCUGUAAGUCGAAUGUGAAAUCUAUGGGCUCAACUCAUAAAUUGCGUUCGAAACUAUAGUGCUUGAGUGGAGUAGAGGCAGGCGGAAUUCCCGGUGUAGCGGUGGAAUGCGUAGAUCUCGGGAGGAACACCAGUGGCGAAGGCGGCCUGCUGGGCUUUAACUGACACUGAGGCUCGAAAGCGUGGGUAGCAAACAGGAUUAGAUACCCGGGUAGUCC
rnacentral:rRNA from 1 species